rfam:Felis catus isolate Cinnamon breed Abyssinian chromosome E2, whole genome shotgun sequence.
GCCUGGGUGGCUCAGUUGGUUGAGCAUCCGACUUCAACUCAGGUCAUGAUCUCGCAGUUUGUGGGUUCGAGCCCGCAUCGGGCU